rnacentral:rRNA from 1 species
AGUGAACGCUGGCGGUAGGCCUAACACAUGCAAGUCGAACGGCAGCACAGUAAGAGCUUGCUCUUACGGGUGGCGAGUGGCGGACGGGUGGGGAAUACAUCGGAAUCUACUUUUUCGUGGGGGAUAACGUAGGGUAACUUACGCUAAUACCGCAUACGGCCUACGGGUGAAAGCAGGGGAUCUUCGGACCUUGCGCGAUUGAAUGAGCCGAUGUCGGAUUAGCUAGUUGGCGGGGUAAAGGCCCACCAAGGCGACGAUCCGUAGCUGGUCUGAGAGGAUGAUCAGCCACACUGGAACUGAGACACGGUCCAGAGUCCUACGGGAGGCAGCAGUGGGGAAUAUUGGACAAUGGGGGCAAGCCUGAUCCAGCAAUACCGCGUGGGUGAAGAAGGCAUUCGGGUUGUAAAGCCCUUUUGUUGGGAAAGAAAAGCAGCAGGUUAAUACCCCGCUGUUCUGACGGUACCCAAAGAAUAAGCACCGGCUAACUUCGUG